AAUCAACGCUGGCGGCGUGCCUAACACAUGCAAGUCGAACGCGAAAGCCCCUUCGGGGGUAAGUAGAGUGGCGUCCGGGUGAGUAACACGUAGGUAAUCUACCUCUGGGUGGGGAAUAACUCGCCGAAAGGCGAGCUAAUACCGCAUAAUGCAGCGGCACCUAAUGGUGAAUGGUUGUUAAAGCGGGGGACCUUCGGCCUCGCGCCUAGAGAGGAGCCUGCGGCAGAUCAGCAGUUGGUGAGGUAAUGGCUCACCAAGGCUUCGAUCUGUAGCUGGUCUGAGAGGACGGCCAGCCACACUGGCACUGACACACGGGCCAGACUCCUACGGGAGGCAGCAGUGGGGAAUUUUGGGCAAUGGGCGCAAGCCUGACCCAGCAACGCCGCGUGAGGGAGGAAAUCCUU
rnacentral:rRNA from 1 species